GUAGGCGGAAAGUUUAGGUAAAUCCGGACUUUCUUAACGCUGAGAUACGAUGUCGAGCUACUACGGUAGUGAAGUCAUUGAUGCCAUGCUUCCAGGAAAAGCCUCUAAGCUUCAGAUUGUAAGGAAUCGUACCCCAAACCGACACAGGUGGUCGGGUAGAGAAUACCAAGGCGCUUGAGAGAACUCGGGUGAAGGAACUAGGCAAAAUGGUACCGUAACUUCGGGAGAAGGUACGCUCUUAUCAGUGAAGUCCCUUGCGGAUGGAGCAGACGAGAGUCGCAGAUACCAGGUGGCUGCAACUGUUUAUUAAAAACACAGCACUGUGCAAAAUCGUAAGAUGACGUAUACGGUGUGACGCCUGCCCGGUGCCGGAAGGUUAAUUGAUGGGGUUAGACUUCGGUCGAAGCUCUUGAUCGAAGCCCCGGUAAACGGCGGCCGUAACUAUAACGGUCCUAAGGUAGCGAAAUUCCUUGUCGGGUAAGUUCCGACCUGCACGAAUGGCGUAAUGAUGGCCACGCUGUCUCCACCCGAGACUCAGUGAAAUUGAAAUCGCUGUGAAGAUGCAGUGUACCCGCGGCUAGACGGAAAGACCCCGUGAACCUUUACUACAGCUUGGCACUGAACAUUGAACCUACAUGUGUAGGAUAGGUGGGAGACUAUGAAAUUGCGUCGCUAGAUGUGAUGGAGUCGUCCUUGAAAUACCACCCUUGUAGUUUUGAUGUUCUAACGUUGGUCCCUGAAUCGGGAUUACGGACAGUGCCUGGUGGGUAGUUUGACUGGGGCGGUCUCCUCCCAAAGAGUAACGGAGGAGCACGAAGGUGGGCUAAACACGGUUGGACAUCGUGUGGUUAGUGCAAUGGCAUAAGCCCGCUUGACUGCGAGAAUGACAAUUCGAGCAGGUGCGAAAGCAGGUCAUAGUGAUCCGGUGGUUCUGAAUGGAAGGGCCAUCGCUCAACGGAUAAAAGGUACUCCGGGGAUAACAGGCUGAUACCGCCCAAGAGUUCAUAUCGACGGCGGUGUUUGGCACCUCGAUGUCGGCUCAUCACAUCCUGGGGCUGAAGUCGGUCCCAAGGGUAUGGCUGUUCGCCAUUUAAAGUGGUACGCGAGCUGGGUUUAGAACGUCGUGAGACAGUUCGGUCCCUAUCUGCCGUGGGCGUUGGAAAAUUGAAAGGGGCUGCUCCUAGUACGAGAGGACCGGAGUGGACGAACCUCUGGUGUUCGGGUUGUCAUGCCAAUGGCAUUGCCCGGUAGCUAAGUUCGGAAUCGAUAACCGCUGAAAGCAUCUAAGCGGGAAGCGAGCCUUGAGAUGAGUUUUCCCUGGCACUAUAAGUGUCCUAAAGGGUUGUCGUAGACUACGACGUUGAUAGGCAGGG
rnacentral:rRNA from 1 species